rnacentral:ribozyme from 1 species
UGUAUUUACACAACAGGAUACCGGUCUAAACUAUCUGGGUAACUAACUCUUACUCAAAUGUUCCCGGUGUACAAAACGGUAGCAAGUCUCUCCGCAUAUCUGACCUUAGGCAUACCUCGGGAAACUCAUCCCUUUGGGAGGAUGGAUGAUAUGGCUAACCUGAGUAGA